CAGGGCGUCAUAGAGGGUGAGAAUCCCGUACGUGGCCGGCGGUCAAUUCCGUGUGAAACCCCUUCGACGAGUCGAGUUGUUUGGGAAUGCAGCUCAAAAUGGGUGGUAAAUUUCAUCUAAAGCUAAAUACCGGCCAGAGACCGAUAGCGCACAAGUAGAGUGAUCGAAAGAUGAAAAGCACUUUGGAAAGAGAGUUAAAAAGUACGUGAAAUUGUUGAAAGGGAAGCGCUUGCGACCAGACUUGCUCGCGGGUGAUCAGCCUCCCUUUGGGGGGGUGCACUCACCCGUGAUCAGGCCAGCAUCGGUUUUGGCGGGUGGAUAAAGUCCCCAGGAAUGUGGCUCCCUUCGGGGAGUGUUAUAGCCUGGGGCGCAAUGCGCCCAGCCGGGACCGAGGACCGCGCUUCGGCUAGGAUGCUGGCGUAAUGGUUGUAAGCGACCCGUCUUGAAACACGGACCAAGGAGUCUAACGUCUAUGCGAGUGUUUGGGUGUCAAGCCCAUGCGCGGAAUGAAAGUGAACGCAGGUGGGAGCCCUCNCGGGGGCGCACCAUCGACCGAUCCUGAUGUCUUCGGAUGGAUUUGAGUAGGAGCAUGGCUGUUGGGACCCGAAAGAUGGUGAACUAUGCCUGAAUAGGGUGAAGCCAGAGAAACUCUGGUGGAAGCUCGCAGCGGUUCUGACGUGCAAA
rnacentral:rRNA from 1 species